rnacentral:rRNA from 1 species
GAUGAACGCUAGCGGCAGGCCUAAUACAUGCAAGUCGAACGAGAUUAAGAGGCUUGCUUCUUAUGAAAGUGGCGCACGGGUGCGUAACGCGUAUGCAACCUACCUUAAUCAGGGGGAUAGCCCGAAGAAAUUCGGAUUAAGACCGCAUAAAAACACAGGAUAGCAUUAUCCAAUGUUCAAAUAUUUAUAGGAUUAAGAUGGGCAUGCGUGUCAUUAGCUAGUUGGCGGGGUAACGGCCCACCAAGGCGACGAUGACUAGGGGAUCUGAGAGGAUGACCCCCCACACUGGUACUGAGACACGGACCAGACUCCUACGGGAGGCAGCAGUAAGGAAUAUUGGUCAAUGGAGGGAACUCUGAACCAGCCAUGCCGCGUGCAGGAAGACAGCCCUCUGGGUCGUAAACUGCUUUUAUUCGGGAAUAAACCUUUCUACGUGUAGGAAGCUGAAUGUACCGAAGGAAUAAGAAUCGGCUAACUCCGUG